rnacentral:lncRNA from 1 species
AUGCUUUCGGUGCACUUAUAGGCUCUGUGCUUUUCUGUGUUGAAGCCUGGAUCUCAGAGCUGAUGAAGGACAGUGUCCAGGGCCUCAGGUCCACUUUUUAAGGGCCAUGAUUCCACUUUGCUGCCCAAGACAUUGCCAUCCUACAAUGAAACUUACACAAUUGCUGCAAGACUCCUACAAAUUACUCCAGCUCUAAGUGACCAAAAGUUACCAUGGACCCAUUAUGUAAUGACAUGUUCCUUGAAUUCACAAGGAAGCACAAACUCAAAGAUGGAAGGUCCAAAGUCGGAAAGGGCAGGUGAGCUGAUCAAUGGGAGCGUCUUCACACCCGGCACAGAAAUUCUUCUUUCCUAACAAAUUCCACUGUUCAACUUGUUUCAAACUCCAGAAUGAGUAACUGCAUACGUUAAAAAGUGCAUUUAUAUCCAGAGGGGAGUGUUUGCAUAUAUGUUUUAGUUAAUAAAUAAAAAAGUAUCCUGACCUCUGAGAGUCACUCAAUAAAUCACAACUAUUAUUUACAUUUAUCAUCAUUAUCCUUAACUUUUCCACAUAUCCUUUAUUAGGGAACAGUUUGUUCUGCUACACUAUUGCUGCUAUGAGUCUUUCUUUCACGACAAAACAGACUCCUGAGUCUUUUUUAUUCA